UGAAAGAAAUACUCUUGCCCAUGCUCAGGCGGUGGACAGAGGUUGAAUGUGUGUUGGUUAAAUGAACCCAGAUGAUACUAGUGAUGCAAAUUUGGAGUCUCCUUGGAAUAACAAAGCAUUCCCAACAAAAAACUUCAAAGCGACAGUCACUGCAAAAGGAUGCUGAUCUUUGUGGUAUUUUCUACACUGUAAAGACGUAUAAUGGAAACAAGACUCCCAGCUUUCUGCUCAACCAAAGAAUUUUGUGCUCCAAAGAAUUUCAGUAUUGUGUCAUUUUGUUCUAGAUUCCCAUUCCGGUGAGGUGCUGUAUAAAAGGCUAAGAGAAAAUUAUACUAAGGUAAAUAUGUUCAAUAGAAACACACAUUAAUAAUACUUGUGACCUCCAGGUAAGAUGAUACAUUUAUUUACCAUAACUUUCAGUAAUUAUAAAAAUCACCUUCAGCUUUUACAAAAUCAGUAGUUGAAUGUGUUGUUUAGACUCAGUGUG